rnacentral:rRNA from 1 species
UACGUAGGGAGCGAGCGUUGUCCGGAAUUACUGGGUGUAAAGGGAGCGUAGGCGGGCGAGAAAGUUGAAUGUUAAAUCUACCGGCUUAACUGGUAGCUGCGUUCAAAACUUCUUGUCUUGAGUGAAGUAGAGGCAGGCGGAAUUCCUAGUGUAGCGGUGAAAUGUGUAGAUAUUAGGAGGAACACCAGUGGCGAAGGCGGCCUGCUGAGCUUUAACUGACGCUGAGGCUCGAAAGCGUGGGGAGCAAACAGG